GGGUUCACUAACGUCGAAAACGUGACUAUUAUGUUUAUGUAGGUAUCUCUAGAGAAUAUGUCUAGAGACAAUUGUAUUACUUCUUUAUUAUUCGCAUUUAUUCACGUGGAUUAUAAUAUUUUGUGUAUAGUAGUUUCAAAAAAAUAUCCGAUCAGCAUUGUUACGGAACUAUCGAAUUUGAACCGUGAAUACCUAAGUAAAUCUAUUAAACAACAUAACCAACGCCUAGUAUGGCUUAUUAUGACUAUGGUGACUGUUGCCUGUGAGUAUACCUGCUACAAUAAUAUCGGCAACUUGAAGCUCUUAAAGUACUUAACCGGUGUUUGUUUUAGCUGAACAACGCCAGGGGACCAAGAUCACAGGGGAGAGA